GGGAGCCUGAGAGACGGCUACCACAUCUAAGGAAGGCAGCAGGCGCGCAAAUUACCCAAUCCUGACUCAGGGAGGUAGUGACCAGAAAUAACGACGACGGGUUUCGAUUCGUCGAUUGCAAUGAGCACAAUGUAAAAUUCUUAGCGAGUACCGACUGGAGGGCAAGUCUGGUGCCAGCAGCCGCGGUAAUUCCAGCUCUAGUAGCGUAUAUUAAAGUUGUUGCAGUUAAAAAGCUCGUAGUUGGACGUCUCUGCGACACGCAGCUCCGCCACGCAACUGGGCACGCUCUUAACCGAGCGGCCGAGACCUGCGGGCCCUUUACCUUGAGGAAACUAGAGUGUUUAAGGCAGGCUCCGCCUGAAUACUGCAGCUGGGAAUAAUGCGCACGACUGUCUUGGCGAGGCAGCUCCACACUUUUAAUAGGAACAGUUGGGGGCAUUCGUACUCAGCAGUCAGAGGUGAAAUUCUUGGAUUUGCUGAAGACGGACUAGUGCGAAAGCAUUUGCCAAGGAUGUUUUCAUUAAUCAAGAACGAAAGUUAAGGGAUCCAAGACGAUCAGAUACCGUCCUAGUCUUAACCAUAAACGAUGCCGACUAGGGAUCGGGAGAGACGUACACACUCUCUCGGCACCUCACGAGAAAUCCAAGUCUUUGGGUUCUGGGGGGAGUAUGGUCGCAAGACUGAAACUUAAAGGAAUUGACGGAAGGACACCACAAGGAGUGGAGCCUGCGGCUUAAUUUGACCCAACACGGGGAAACUUACCAGGUCCAGACAUAGUGAGGAUUGACAGAUUGACAGCUCUUUCUUGAUCCUAUGGGUGGUGGUGCAUGGCCGUUCCUAGUUGGUGGAGUGAUCUGUCUGGUUAAUUCCGAUAACGAACGAGACCUCAGCCUGCUAACUAGAUCUUCUUAGAGGGACUUCCUGCUCGCACAGGAGGAAGUGAGGCAAUAACGGGUCCGUGAUGCCCUUAGAUGUCCUGGGCCGCACGCGCGCUACACUGACGCAACCUGCCAGUUCCAAGCCCGAACCGGCCUGGCAAACUGCCAACUGCGUCGUAGUUGGAACUGACCCUUGCAAUUCUUGGUCACGAACCAGGAAUUCCUAGUAAGCGCAAGUCAUCAGCUUGCACUGACUAAGUCCCUGCCCUUUGCACACACCGCCCGUCGCUCCUACCGAUUCCGAGUGAUCAGGUGAACCUCUCGGACCCUGGAAGUUAAGUGAACCUUAUCACUUAGAGGAAGGAGAAGUCGUAACAAGGUA
rnacentral:rRNA from 1 species